rnacentral:rRNA from 1 species
AUUGAACGCUGGCGGCAUGCCUUACACAUGCAAGUCGAACGGCAGCACGGGUGCUUGCACCUGGUGGCGAGUGGCGCACGGGUGAGUAAUACAUCGGAACAUGUCCUGUAGUGGGGGAUAGCCCGGCGAAAGCCGGAUUAAUACCGCAUACGAUCCACGGAUGAAAGCGGGGGACCUUCGGGCCUCGCGCUAUAGGGUUGGCCGAUGGCUGAUUAGCUAGUUGGUGGGGUAAAGGCCUACCAAGGCGACGAUCAGUAGCUGGUCUGAGAGGACGACCAGCCACACUGGGACUGAGACACGGCCCAGACUCCUACGGGAGGCAGCAGUGGGGAAUUUUGGACAAUGGGCGAAAGCCUGAUCCAGCAAUGCCGCGUGUGUGAAGAAGGCCUUCGGGUUGUAAAGCACUUUUGUCCGGAAAGAAAUCCUUGGCUCUAAUACAGUCGGGGGAUGACGGUACCGGAAGAAUAAGCACCGGCUAACUACGUG